UACAGAGGGUGCAAGCGUUGUUCGGAAUCAUUGGGCGUAAAGGGCGUGUAGGCGGUUUGUUAAGUCAUGUGUGAAAUCCCCCGGCUCAACCGAGGAACGACGCAUGAAACUGGCAGCUAGAGUACCGAAGAGGGGGUGGAAUUCCCGGGUGAUCGAGCGGUGGAAAGUGACGUAGAUAUCGGGAGGAACACCUGUCGGCGAAGG
rnacentral:rRNA from 1 species